GAUGAAUGCUGGCGGCGUGCCUAAUACAUGCAAGUCGAGCGAACGGACGAGAAGCUUGCUUUUCUGAUGUUAGCGGCGGACGGGUGAGUAACACGUGGAUAACCUACCUAUAAGACUGGGAUAACUUCGGGAAGCCGGAGCUAAUACCGGAUAAUAUUUUGAACCGCAUGGUUCAAAAGUGAAAGACGGUCUUGCUGUCACUUAUAGAUGGAUCCGCGCUGCAUUAGCUAGUUGGUAAGGUAACGGCUUACCAAGGCAACGAUGCAUAGCCGACCUGAGAGGGUGAUCGGCCACACUGGAACUGAGACACGGUCCAGACUCCUACGGGAGGCAGCAGUAGGGAAUCUUCCGCAAUGGGCGAAAGCCUGACGGAGCAACGCCGCGUGAGUGAUGAAGGUCUUCGGAUCGUAAAACUCUGUUAUUAGGGAAGAACAUAUGUGUAAGUAACUGUGCACAUCUUGACGGUACCUAAUCAGAAAGCCACGGCUAACUACGUG
rnacentral:rRNA from 1 species